GAAUCCUUUGAGGGCUCAGGAGACAGUGGUGCCAGCACUCCUAAGGUCCCACUAGCCCUUGGGGCAAGAGGGGCUUCUUAUCCAAAAGCUGUGUGCUCCAGCGUCCCUGAAGGUCUCUCCGCAUCACAGAGACCCUCCAUAGAAGGCACACCAAGCUGUGGCACUGGAACCCCAAAGCCUGCCUGGCCUAGGCCUAACAUGCUGUCCAUGCUGAAAGCCUGGAAGAGCUUUCUUCAUAUUCCCUCAGCUCUGCCACCACCUCGACUUCUGCGUUGCAAUGCUGAAACUGCAAUGACACGCUCUCUUCUGCCUGUUCUUGUCCACCGCACCUCAGCUGCCAGGUUAAUCUCCCGAGAAUGCCAAUGCGUUAAGACUGACGCCUUGAUCACCUCACUUGUCAAAUGCAGGGUUCCAGCUCCAUAGAUCAGCAUCUUUAGAGAUCAAAUAAAUCCUUUGGAAUCCUGAAGACCAUUAUCCCCCAAAAUGCAUGUGGCUCAGGGAGACUGCUGGUAGAGAUGCUGUCAGCCCUAGCCUGCCCGGGGCUUUGCAGGGCUCAGCCAAGGAGCCAGGCAGUUGUGAACAGCAGCCUCUGCAGCACCCCUCCGGUCUGCUGGAUCACACGGGAAGCGGUGCUCCAUGUCUGUAUCCAGAUUCAUUCUUCCUCUG
rnacentral:lncRNA from 1 species